rnacentral:lncRNA from 10 species
CUUGAAACUGUAACUCUCGUUCAGGAGUUGGGGAAAAUAAAGAUAGGGGUGUGUGCGCGUGUGCGUGUGUGUUUUCUACCAGACUGGAAUAAUAUAACAGAUAAAAGGAUGGAAGUUAGCAAAGAAGAAUUUAACUGAAGGAGAAGUGUUACGUAGGAAAAAUCACGAGACUGCAGUUGGAAAACUAGGUUGGAGCUCCUCGUGGAAGAGUUUGCAUGACAAACUACAAAGCAGGGAGCCACUGAAGCUACUUUGGAAUACGGGAAUUCACCUGUUUUUUACGUACUCAGCUGCCGUGCAUUGAGCCCUUCCCACAAGCCAGCCGUUUGCUAAGUGCUGUGGAUCAGCAAAGCUAAAAUUCACUUGGAUCCUGACUUCAAGCAGCUUAGCGUCUAGCAGUUGAUAUUAGAUAUGUAUAUAAGUAACCAUAACACAAAAUAGAAAGUGGUGUAUCGUGUGAAGUAAAAACUGGGAAGCAAGAGGGAUUGCUUCCUGCAGGGGAUGAGAGCAAAACGUAAUAGAAGAUUUUCAGGUGAAGGGAAGGUUGAUCUUGGCAGUAAGGAUGUAUUGAAGACUUGAGCAAGAGAAGCCACUUAGAAGCUACCAAGGUUUUUUGUAUAUCAUCUUAUAUUGAACAUAUGCAAUUUUAUAAUGUAACAAUUUAGAUUGCUUAUAUGUAUGGAAUAAUACGUAGAAUGCAUGUGGAUAAACAAAUUGUGGUGUAUUCAUACAAUGGAAUACCAAUUUAUGGCCAUAAAAAGGAACAAACUACUGACUCGUGCAACAACGUGGAUGAAUGUUCCCCCACGUUAUCGUGAGUAAGAGAAACUGGAGGCGAAAGAGGAAAGCCUAAAGAAGAUAAUGCCACUUGAGUGAAGUCAUGAGGAGAUUGCUGCUUUGGGAAAGUGAGGGCAGGAAAGACAAGUUGUGCCGGCUCUCUAUGGCUGGAUGAACCCCCCAGCGAGGGUCACUGGAAGAUCCUGCCCCUUCUGGAAAUACAUGCCUCUAUCCUUGCUGGCCAGGAAAUGUGGAAGGGGAUGAGGUCCCCUCUUCAGUUGGCCCAGAUGAGAAGAAGUCGGUUUGAAUCUCACUGGGAGCGUGGCAAUGGUUGCUCUCUGGAGUUCCAGACACAGUGCCCACCCUAGAACCAUGAGGAGGGAAGAGGGGAGGGGCAGCACAGCCAUCCUCCAACAUUGUGCUUCCUUUCUUACCCCAGGCAUCUAGAGGUCUCUUAGGGCACAGAUAAGGAUAAGACUUCACAGUCACUGCCAGCUAGAGCCGAUGAGUUUUAGGGGGUUUGGGGGAGAAAAGUUCUGAAAUCACACUUUCUAGAUGUGUGUUUGGGAAGCAUCAAAUCAUUCUAGUUAAGUGAAUAAGCUAUGGAGUAAGACUGCUCAGUUCAAAUCCUGAGUCUGCCAUCUAAGCCUACUGCCUGGCAUAGAGUAAGCGCUCAGAAAAGAACACCUGUUCUUAGACGUGUGGAUAAGGCCAUCUUGGCUCUUCAAACAAGUGAAGUGCAGUGUCUCACCACUCUUCAAUCCCAAUUCAAAAAGGGGAAAGAACCUUAAAAAUGUUAAGAAUAUAGGCUUAACCUACACAUAUCAAUAGUAUUUAACAAAUGCAAUAUGCAUUGUUUAUUGCAGUGAUAAAAUGUCUACAAAUUUAUAUUUCAUAUAUAUUCCUUUUCAGAUAACUUAGGUUUACCAUAACAGAACAUUAUGGAUGGGGGUCUGUUAUCUAUAUUACAUAUGUAACGACUGUCUCAUAUUUUGUGAUUUAUUGACCAUACCAGAUUACUUCUACCGAGAAGAUUAAUUCAUGAUACCAAUUGGUUUGCAACCGGAAAUCUGAAUUCCAGAUGGCAUAAUGGAUUCUACCUCUUAAACACGUUUUUAUGACCUCUUUGAUGUUGAAGGACUUUGAAAUUAAUCUGCAUAACAUUAGUUCCCCCG